rnacentral:rRNA from 1 species
UACGGGGGGGGCAAGCGUUGUUCGGAAUUACUGGGCGUAAAGGGUUUGUAGGUGGCCUGCUAAGUCACACGUGAAAUCCCUCAGCUUAACUGGGGAACUGCGUGUGAGACUGGCAGGCUUGAGUGCAGGAGAGGAACGCGGAAUUCCAGGUGUAGCGGUGAAAUGCGUAGAUAUCUGGAGGAACACCGGUGGCGAAGGCGGCGUUCUGGACUGUAUCUGACACUGAAGAACGAAAGCCAGGGGAGCAAACGGG